GAUGAACGCUGGCGGCGUGCCUAAUACAUGCAAGUCGAGCGAACAGACGAGGAGCUUGCUCCACUGACGUUAGCGGCGGACGGGUGAGUAACACGUGGAUAACCUACCUAUAAGACUGGAUAACUUCGGGAAACCGGAGCUAAUACCGGAUAAUAUAUUGAACCGCAUGGUUCCAUAGUGAAAGACGGUUUUGCUGUCACUUAUAGAUGGAUCCGCGCCGCAUUAGCUAGUUGGUAAGGUAACGGCUUACCAAGGCAACGAUGCGUAGCCGACCUGAGAGGGUGAUCGGCCACACUGGAACUGAGACACGGUCCAGACUCCUACGGGAGGCAGCAGUAGGGAAUCUUCCGCAAUGGGCGAAAGCUUGACGGAGCAACGCCGCGUGAGUGAUGAAGGUCUUCGGAUCGUAAAACUCUGUUAUUAGGGAAGAACAAAUGUGUAAGUAACUAUGCACGUCUUGACGGUACCUAAUCAGAAAGCCACGGCUAACUACGUG
rnacentral:rRNA from 1 species